GAUGAACGCUGGCGGCGUGCCUAAUACAUGCAAGUCGAGCGAACAGAUAAGGAGCUUGCUCCUUUGACGUUAGCGGCGGACGGGUGAGUAACACGUGGGUAACCUAUCUAUAAGACUGGAAUAACUCCGGGAAACCGGGGCUAAUGCCGGAUAACAUGUUGAACCGCAUGGUUCUACAGUGAAAGGCGGCUUUGCUGUCACUUAUAGAUGGACCCGCGCCGUAUUAGCUAGUUGGUGAGGUAACGGCUCACCAAGGCAACGAUAGGUAGCCGACCUGAGGGGGUGAUCGGCCACACUGGAACUGAGACACGGUCCAGACUCCUACGGGAGGCAGCAGUAGGGAAUCUUCCGCAAUGGGCGAAAGCCUGACGGAGCAACGCCGCGUGAGUGAUGAAGGUCUUCGGAUCGUAAAACUCUGUUAUUAGGGAAGAACAAAUGCGUAAGUAACUGUGCGCGUCUUGACGGUACCUAAUCAGAAAGCCACGGCUAACUACGUG
rnacentral:rRNA from 1 species